rnacentral:misc_RNA from 1 species
GCAAGGUUCAUGCGUUUCACAAUGUGUGCCGCCAUCAUGGCUCUCUUCUUGCAUUGGGAAGUGGGAAAAAGUCUUGCUUUGUAUGCCCUUACCAUGCUUGGACUUAUGGUUUAGAUGGAGCACUUCUUAAAGCAACUCGAAUAACAGGAAUGCAAAAUUUCAAUGAGUUUGGGCUUAUUCCACUAAAUGCAGCUACCAAGCCAUUCAUUCUAAAUGUAGCUACUUGGGGGCCAUUUGUUCUUCUCAGUAUGGGCAAAGAGAAUUCACCUCAUCACGAAGUUGAUGGCAAUAUGGUGGAAAAUGAAUGGCUUGGUAGCUGCUCUGAUACACUGAAAACCAAUGGAGUUGAUUCUUCUUUGAGUCAUGUUUGUAGACGUGUAUACAAUAUUGAAUGCAACUGGAAGGUGUUUUGCGACAACUACUUGGAUGGUGGCUACCAUGUUCCAUAUGCACAUAAAGAUUUGGCAUCUGGUUUGAAGCUUGAUUCUUACUCCACCAUAAUAUACGAAAAGGUCAGUAUCCAAAGAUGUGAAGGUGGCUCAGCUGGAAGUGAAGAUGAUUUUGGUCGNNNAUCAAAAGUUUUAUAUGCUUUCAUUUAUCCUAAUUUCAUGAUUAACAGAUAUGGGCCUUGGAUGGAUACCAACCUUGUGCUGCCUCUCGGACCCAGAAAAUGCCAAGUGAUAUUUGACUACUUUAU